rnacentral:tRNA from 1 species
GACCACGUGGCCUAACGGACAAGGCGUCUGACUUCGGAUCAGAAGAUUGCGGGUUCGAAUCCCUUCGUGGUUG